CCGCGUCCAGCUUGCCCCCCACCGUUCCAUGCUUAGGUGUGUCCGUUUCAGCGCGUCGUCCUCGGACCUCGCAACGAGCGGCGACUUGGGCGUGGACGUUGUUGUGCGCAGGUGAUGGCGUGUGAGUGGCUGUUGGUUCACGUGGUCGCACAGGCUCCCUGCUGGUGCAGCGAACUGUGUGGCUCUGAACCUCCUCAUUAUUGUCGCCUCUAUUCGUUGAGGUGCGGAGUUGGUCCCUGUAUUGCCUACCGAAUGUGACGGAAUUUUGUCCYCUCGAUUGAUUUUCCCGCUUGCUGCGCCGUCGGCGCGAGGCGGCACGAAAGAAUUYCUCCGUCGUCCACCCACGCGACUCGUCGAGAGAUGAUGUUGGUAUGGGCACGGGGGCGUUUCCUAGUGAUCUCGGUUACGGAACAUUAUGCGAGCGUCGGGCCUUGUCCUUCGUACGCUCGAUAAGCACGCUGAAUGCGAACGAUCGCUCGUCCCGUCUCGUCUUCCCAACGCGAGUUGGUUAUGUCGUUGCGGCGGCGGCGUCGGCGAGGAAUGC
rnacentral:misc_RNA from 1 species